rnacentral:rRNA from 1 species
GAUGAACGCUGGCGGCGUGCCUAAUACACGCAAGUCGAGCGAACGGACGAGAAGCUUGCUUCUCUGAUGUUAGCGGCGGACGGGUGAGUAACACGUGGAUAACCUACCUAUAAGACUGGGAUACUUCGGGAAACCGGAGCUAAUUCCGGAUAAUAUUUUGAACCGCAUGGUUUAAAAGUUAAAGACGGUCUUGCUGUUACUUAUUGAUGGAUCCGCGCUGCAUUAGCUAGUUGGUAAGGUAACGGCUUACCAAGGCAACGAUGCAUAGCCGACCUGAGAGGGUGAUCGGCCACACUGGAACUGAGACACGGUCCAGACUCCUACGGGAGGCAGCAGUAGGGAAUCUUCCGCAAUGGGCGAAAGCCUGACGGAGCAACGCCGCGUGAGUGAUGAAGGUCUUCGGAUCGUAAAACUCUGUUAUUAGGGAAGAACAUAUGUGUAAGUAACUGUGCACAUCUUGACGGUACCUAAUCAGAAAGCCACGGCUGACUACGUG